UUUUGGACAAUGGGCGCAAGCCUGAUCCAGCCAUGCCGCGUGAGUGAAGAAGGCCUUCGGGUUGUAAAGCUCUUUCGGCGGGGACGAAACGGUUCGUGCUAAUACCACGGACUACUGACGGUACCCGCAGAAGAAGCACCGACUAACUACGUGCCAGCAGCCGCGGUAAUACGUAGGGUGCAGGCGUUAAUCGGAAUUACUGGGCGUAAAGCGUGCGCAGGCGGUUUGUUAAGACAGGUGUGAAAUCCCCGGGCUUAACCUGGGAAUUGCGCUUGUAACUGGCAGACUGGAGUGUGGCAGAGGGGGGUGGAAUUCCAAGUGUAGCAGUGAAAUGCGUAGAUAUUUGGAGGAACACCGAUGGCGAAGGCAGCCCCCUGGGCUAACACUGACGCUCAUGCACGAAA
rnacentral:rRNA from 1 species